UCAGGGAAAAGAAAAAAAAAAUUGAAAAGCUAUUGCAGUGCCACAUCUCUGAUCUUAAAUAGGUGAUCUUGACUUCCACGGCUACUUGAUCAAACCCAUUUCUUUGAGAAAGGUACAGAUGUAGAUGAAUGUGGAUUCCAUUGCUUUUGCACAUCGUGUAUUUUCUCCACUCAGUCAUCACUAUCUCUUUAAAUGACUGAUGCUUACAACCUCAUGGGAACAAUAAAACAUCCUUUCAUAUAAGGAGACAAUUUUUAUGUGUAUAUGAAUGCGAUUUUGUUCUCCCUUGAGGAUAUUCUUUUCAUUUAUUCUGUGCCUGUUCUUUGCUCAAAUUCUCUGCAACACUCUAGAACGACAGCCCCACGAAGGACCUGACUUGGUCCACUUCAGGUUCUGGGGACCUAGACUACAGAGGAAGUCACUGUUUUAUUCUUUUUCCUCCUAGACUUGAACAUGGAUUAUGCCACUUAAAAAAUAGUUUUCUACAGGCAAGUGGAUAAGGAGACGCAUGCAAUGCUGCUGUCAGUUUCCACAAGAUGCUGAUGAAGGGUGUAUGGGCAUAGAUGUCAACAACAAUAACAAAGUAUUUUGGAAGUGUGUACCGACCACUCAAGGAUCA